rnacentral:tRNA from 1 species
ACAUUGGUGGUUCAACAGUAGAAGUCUUGCCUCCUCUUGUGGAGACCCAGGUUUGAUUCCUGGCCAAUGUA